rnacentral:tRNA from 1 species
GUGGCUGUGGCUCAGUGGUAGAGUGCUCGCCUAGCAUGUGUGAGGCACUGUGUUCGAUUUUCAGCACUGCA